rnacentral:rRNA from 1 species
GUGGGGAAUCUUCCGCAAUGGACGAAAGUCUGACGGAGCAACGCCGCGUGAGUGAUGAAGGUCUUCGGAUUGUAAAGCUCUGUUAAUCGGGACGAAAGAGCCUAGUGUGAAUAAUGCUAGGAAGUGACGGUACCGGAAUAGAAAGCCACGGCUAACUACGUGCCAGCAGCCGCGGUAAUACGUAGGUGGCAAGCGUUGUCCGGAAUUAUUGGGCGUAAAGCGCGCGCAGGCGGAUCUGCCAGUCUGUCUUAAAAGUUCGGGGCUUAACCCCGUGAUGGGAUGGAAACUACAGAUCUAGAGUAUCGGAGAGGAAAGUGGAAUUCCUAGUGUAGCGGUGAAAUGCGUAGAUAUGGGGAGGAACACCAGUGGCGAAGGCGGCUUUCUGGACGGUGUCUGACACUGAGGCGCGAAAGCUAGGGGAGCGAACGGGAUUAGAAACCCUUGUAGUCC